rnacentral:sRNA from 1 species
GCUGUCGCAAAAUCGGCAGCCGGGCGUAGGAACCCGAGUUACUUAUUGGCGACAACAGACGCGCCAUGCGUCUUUUUU